UGCUCUUUUGUGCAAAUACUUUUAACGGGAAAACUCUUCCGUUAAAAGCAUUUGUGCAAAAUCUUGCCAGUGUAGACACAGCCUCAAAAUACUGCAGCACAGGCUCAAAGGAGAAAACAAGCCACCUUGUUCCUCACACUGGAUGCUGAAGGGUUUUCACCAAACUUUGGCUCUUGCAGGUUUCCUCCAGUGCCCACAUUGGCAUUGGAUCGCUCUGGGAGUCGGAUGGGCUGGGAACGUCAUCCUGGCAGGAGCUGUGAUUGUGCUGGGCAUCUGGGUAACAAACAAAGGCUCCCGCCUGGAGGAUUUCCGAUCUCAGUUGAAACAAACGCUGUGUGUGUCAUCACACAGCAACUCAACAGUGGGCUCUGAGUGCAAACUCUGCCCCAAGGACUGGUUGUCGCACAGAGGAACGUGCUAUUGGGUCUCGCAGGAAAUGAAAUACUGGAAGAAGAGCCUUGAGGACUGUACAGAGAAGAAAUCUCACAUGCUAGUGAUCCACGACCAGGAAGAGAUGGAUUUCAUACGAACUGUUACAAAAGGUGUAAAUCAUCUUUGGAUUGGACUUAAUGUGACAUCUCCUGAGAGGACCUGGAUGUGGGUGGACGGCAGACUAUUAAAUCAAACGCUGUUCCCAAAAACUGGCGCUGCUGAACAGAACAGCUGUGGGGUGAUAAAGGGAGAUGCGAUUCGUUCUGAAACCUGUGGUGCUCAAUUCAAAUGGGUUUGCCAGAAAGAAGCCUUUGAGAUAUAAACUGCUUCGAUAAGAUCUCACCCAACCAAAUGAUUGGGCAACAAAAUGGCAAAUGAAAUUUCCCUGCCAUCGUGUCCUGCUGGGCCACAUUCCCUGGUCUCCCCCAGACAAGACACAGAGGGAGGUAACCGUCCCCCUCCCGCAAGAUCAAUGCAGACACUGAACUACCUCACCUCUGGAAGAAGGUCAUUCUAGGGCUCAGCACUGGGGAAGCAAACCCUGAAUGGGAUCAAAACCCCACAAAAAUCUACCUUUCAGGGUAUACAAGUUUUACACGAUGAAGGCUCAUUCUAGUAGGUCCCUUUAUCCGUGAGAGGAGGCUGUGCAUAGUGACUGCUUUCUCCCCUCCUCCAAGAAACAAUUAUUGACACGGAGUUUGAUAGUCAACAAAAAAUACAAAAGUACAAACUGUAGAGCUACAUCUACACUGGCAGCUUCUUGCACAAGAACAGCUGUUCUUCCGCAAAAACUUGCUGUCUGUCUACACUGUACGAGCGUUCUUCCAGAAGUAAAUUUACAGUACAGCAUUGUAACACAGGGCUUCUUCCCUGUGAAGAGUUAUUCCUCUCCCCAUGAGGAAUAAGCCCUCUUGCACAAGAGCUCUUCCACAAGAGGGCAGUGUAGACAGGCAACAUGAAUUUCUUGCGCAAGAAGCCCCCAUGGUUAAAAUGGCCAUCAGAGCUUUCUUCCGCAAGAGAGCGUCUACAUUGCCAUGGAUGCUCUUGCGCAAAAGCACAUGGCAGUGUGGAUGCUCUCUCGUGGAAGAGUUUUUGUGCAAGAACCUGCCAGUGUAGAAGUAGGCUAGGAUUUAAGUGGCAGCAAGUGAAAACAGACAGAGCAAAGUACGUUACAGAAUUAAAAUGAAAAGAAAAUGCAGCACUAGUUCUGAUGCACUAAAACGUGUUGCAAACUUAUCCUAAAGCUGUUCUUCUCUCAGACAAACCUUCAACUCAGAAACAACUUACAAAAUAACAAAUAGUCUAGUAGCACCUUAAAGACUAACAAAACAUGCAGAUGGGAUCAUGAAUUUUCACAAGUGCAACCCCCUUCUUCAGAUGACUGGAGUAUUAGAAGUCAGGAUC